rnacentral:rRNA from 1 species
GAUGAACGCUGGCGGCGUGCCUAAUACAUGCAAGUCGAGCGAACAGACGAGGAGCUUUCUCCUCUGACGUUAGCGGCGGACGUGUGAGUAACACGUUGAUAACCUACCUAUAAGACUGGGAUAACUUCGUGAAACCGGAGCUACUACCGGAUAAUAUAUUGAACCGCAUGGUUCAAUAGUGAAAGACGGUUUUGCUUUCGUUUAUAGAUGGUUCCGCGCCGCAUUAGCUAGUUGGUAAGGUAACGGCUUACCAAGGCGACGAUGCGUAGCCGACCUGAGAGGGUGAUCGGCCACACCGGAACUGAGACACGGUACAGACUCCUACGGGAGGCAGCAGUAGGGAAUCUUCCGCAAUGGGCGAAAGCCUGACGGGGCAACGCCGCGUGAGUGAUGAAGGUAUUCGGAUCGUGAAACUAUGUUAUUAGGGAAGAACAAAUGUGUAAGUAACUAUGAACGUCUUGACGGUACCUAAUCAGAAAGCCACGGCUAACUACGUG